GACGAACGCUGGCGGCGUGCUUAACACAUGCAAGUCGAACGGUAAGGCCCUUCGGGGUACACGAGUGGCGAACGGGUGAGUAACACGUGGGUGAUCUGCCCUGCACUUCGGGAUAAGCCUGGGAAACUGGGUCUAAUACCGGAUAGGACCACUGCCUGCAUGGGUGGUGGUGGAAAGCUUUUGCGGUGUGGGAUGGGCCCGCGGCCUAUCAGCUUGUUGGUGGGGUGAUGGCCUACCAAGGCGACGACGGGUAGCCGGCCUGAGAGGGUGACCGGCCACACUGGGACUGGGAUACGGCCCAGACUCCGACGGGAGGCAGCAGUGGGGAAUAUUGCACAAUGGGAGCAAGCCUGACGCAGCGACGCCGCGUGAGGGAUGACGGCCUUCGGGUUGUAAACCUCUUUCAGCACCGACGAAGCGCAAGUGACGGUAGGUGCAGAAGAAGGACCGGCCAACUACGUGCCAGCCGCCGCGGUAA
rnacentral:rRNA from 1 species